UCAACGGUCCUCUUUAGGACCAACACAUAUUCCUAAAUUAGCUUUUG
rfam:Phlebotomus papatasi Contig22438.1, whole genome shotgun sequence.